UUUAAUUCGACGAAAAUUCGGUAAUCGAUAGCAGCGCGAUCUGUGUAUCGCUGCAGAAAUCACGUGACUCUCAGUUCGACCAAUCCGCGUUGAUUAAGCAAGCGUACGAUAGCGAAUUGGGAUAUCGAUAGUUGAAAAAAAUGACGUGCGUUACAUUUGUGCGCGAUUUUUGAAAGAAAAAAUUGUAUUUAUUAGGAAUAUUACACCCGUUACGUGCAUGCGCACGUUCAAAAACUCAUAUAAACAAUAUUUAAUAAAAGUAUUUUUAUAGAUGGCAACGUGCCAGUCUGAAGGAGAAUUUCGAGGAGGACGGUGUACCGAACAUAUACUCCGUGUUAUUAGCCUCGAAGUCAUCACUGCGCGCAGGAACACUAAAAUAAUAACAUUAAAAUGAAAAUAAUGCUAAGAUUAGAAUGUUAAAAUCUAAAAUUUUAUUGAUUUAUUGAUUAUUCCGCUUAUACACAUGCGCAACGUUCGGAAAGUCCUGCAAACAACUUUCACCAAAAGAACUUUAACAGAGGACAAUGACUCAGAUCAACGGUGAAUUUCGAGGAGGACGGAUCACAGAAGAUAUUUCUCCGAGCUUUUAAACAAUAUUCAUUACAAACAAAUUCUUGUUUAUUUCAUUUUCCUUUUUUUAAUGAGAAUAUCAGUUGUUUUUUAUCUGUCCGCAUUGUUACUUCAAUAUAAUUAUUAAUUCUUUCUACUUCGAGGCAUUUUUUAUUAGACGAUUUUUCGCAUAUUUGUUGAAUAUCUUACAACCAUCUUUUAUAUAUGAUUUCACAAACAAUUUUUUAUAUAAUUAUCUACAUUUGUGUGUGUUAAACAGAAAUAACAGAUCAUUCUAGAGUUGCUGCAUCAAAUCAAGUGGUGAUCGAGAGCAACCUUUUUCGGUGCAAAGGAUUAAACACUGUCAGAUUUGAUGACAAAGUCAGGUCAAGAGGCUAUCUGUACAAUUACGGUUGAAUACUCGAAUGGCAUGUGUAACGAUUGGAAUCUUUUGAAAACUUAGUCAGACUAAACAAACAAUGCGAGGAUUGUGCCAGAGUCGGAACAAAUAACAUAAAUAAUAAUCUUAUGUCAAUGAGAUACGUGAUGCAAGAUUAAAGCUGAGAAUAAAUAAAAGAAGAAGAAAUAUCAAAUUGGAAAUGAUGUUAUUGUCACAUUUAGGGGGUUCUCGCCAAUAUUAUAUUUAAUAUCUUAAUAAAUUUGAUAAUUAUAUGUUUUAUACAUACACUGUAACAUUCGAAGGUGUGACAUUUAAACUUAGAGUUGAAUGCCCAGCAGAAAUACCUUUAACGAAUAUCUCGUAUUCUAAUUUGUCAGUGGUAGCAGAAAAUUCAGGUGGCUCGACAGUUAUCAAAUCCUUGUGUUGUAUAUCUAUCCUUACUGUUACAUUUUGCGAUAUAGAUUCUCUGUCAAAUAAAUUUUUAAUCAAUUAGAUAUCUCCAAUAUAUAUAAAGGAUUAACUUUUUUAUAUGCGUUGUAAUCGAGUGUGUUAAACAUAUUGUUAAAAAUACAUGGAAACGUACUUAACGUUA
rnacentral:lncRNA from 1 species